rnacentral:rRNA from 1 species
UCACUCUGGCCAAGGAACUCGGCAAAAUAACCCCGUAACUUCGGAAGAAGGGGUGCUCUCUAGGGUGACAUGUUUAACAUAUGAAGCCCCGGGGAGCCGCAGUGAAUUGGUGGUGGCGACUGUUUACUAAAAACAUAGGUCUGUGCGAAGUCCUAAAGACGACGUAUACGGACUGACGCCUGCCCGGUGCUGGAAGGUUAAAAGGAGGAGUCAGCGCAAGCAAAGCUCCGAAUUGAAGCCCCAGUAAACGGCGGCCGUAACUAUAACGGUCCUAAGGUAGCGAAAUUCCUUGUCGGGUAAGUUCCGACCUGCACGAAUGGCGUAACGAUCUCCACACUGUCUCGGCCAGAGACUCGGUGAAAUUGCAGUCGCGGUGAAAAUUCCGUGUACCCGCAGAAAGACGGAAAGACCCUGUGCACCUUUACUAUAGCUUGACAUUGGAUUUUGGACCUACAUGUGUAGGAUAGGUGGGAGGCAGUGAACCAUGCACGCCAGUGUGUGGGGAGCCAACGUUGAAAUACCACCCUUGUAUGUUUAGAUCCUAACGUCCACCAGUAAUCCUGGGGACAGACAGUGUCUGGCGGGUAGUUUGACUGGGGCGGUCGCCUCCUAAAGUGUAACGGAGGCAUGCAAAGGUUCCCUCAGCCUGAUCGGAAACCAGGCGCUGAGUGCAAACGCAUAAGGGAGCUUGACUGUAAGAGAGACAUCUCGAACAGGAACGAAAGUUGGCGUUAGUGAUCCGGUGGUCCCGAAUGGAAGGGCCAUCGCUCAUUGGAUAAAAGGUACGCCGGGGAUAACAGGCUGAUCGCAUCCAAGAGUUCACAUCGACGAUGCGGUUUGGCACCUCGAUGUCGGCUCAUCACAUCCUGGGGCUGGAGCAGGUCCCAAGGGUACGGCUGUUCGCCGUUUAAAGUGGUACGCGAGCUGGGUUUAAAACGUCGUGAGACAGUUUGGUCCCUAUCUUCUGUGGGCGAAGGAGAAUUGAGAGGGCCUGUCCCUAGUACGAGAGGACCGGGAUGGACGCACCCCUGGUGAUCCUGUUGUCGCGCCAGCGGCAUAGCAGGGUAGCUAUGUGCGGAAGGGAUAACCGCUGAAAGCAUCUAAGCGGGAAGCCUGCCUCAAGAUAAGUUCUCCCCUCGAAAGAGCUGAAGGACCCAGAUAGACUAUCUGGUUGAUAGGCUGGAGGUGUAAGCGUGGCGACAUGCUCAGCUGACCAGUACUAAUAGUCCGAGCGGCUUAUUUUU